rnacentral:lncRNA from 1 species
CGCAACCAAAAUCAUAUGCCCACCUUGAUCAAUGACAUCAUAUUUGGCUCAAUUGAAGAUUAUCUAUCCAUAUUAAACUUCAUCUUAUUUUGACAAAUGGGAGGGCUUAUUAAUACUCUUUAAUAAUCCAAAAUUUCAUCCAAAAAGACUAAUUGAAAGAUAUUAUUAAAAUUUUUUAAUUUUAUAUGAAUAUCUAUAUUUUUUUUAAUAAAUAAUCGAUAUGGGACUAAAUACACAUCCAUACGGAUCUUCAUAUGCUCUUCCAUUUAAAUCCUAGCAUUCUCGUCAAACUAAAGGUCUAAAUUCAUAUAUCCAUUCAAAAACACCACAAUCAAUUCAUGGUCAAUCUAAUAAACCCAUGUUGCAUCAUUCCUUAGUUCACAUAAAUUAUGGGCCGGAUUUGGGUUCCUUGAUCUUAUACAAGUAUCCAAAAUAUCUCAGCAAAUAACCAAUAUGGUGCUAAAUACACACCCACACAAGUUCUCAUAUACUCUCUCUAUUUAAGCUCCAGUGUCCUCCUUAGACCAAAGAUCCAAUUUCAUAUAUCUAUUCAUAAACACCAUGAUUGACCUGUCAUUAGUUCAAUGAAUCUAUACUGCAGUAUCCUCUAUUUUAUAUGGACU